CAGUAGCCGCGGGAAUACGAAGGGGGCUAGCGUUGUUCGGAAUUACUGGGCGUAAAGCGCACGUAGGCGGAUCGAUCAGUCAGGGGUGAAAUCCCAGGGCUCAACCCUGGAACUGCCUUUGAUACUGUCGAUCUGGAGUAUGGAAGAGGUGAGUGGAAUUCCGAGUGUAGAGGUGAAAUUCGUAGAUAUUCGGAGGAACACCAGUGGCGAAGGCGGCUCACUGGUCCAUUACUGACGCUGAGGUGCGAAAGCGUGGGGAGCAAACAGGAUUAGAGACCCCAGUAGUCCCUGUCUCUUAUAC
rnacentral:rRNA from 1 species